rnacentral:rRNA from 1 species
CCUACGGGAGGCAGCAGUGGGGGAUAUUGCACAAUGGGGGGAACCCUGAUGCAGCGACGCCGCGUGGGUGAAGGAGCGUUUCGGAGCGUAAAGCCCUAUCGGCAGGGAAGAAGAAGGACGGUACCUGACUCAGAAGCCCCGGCUAACUACGUGCCAGCAGCCGCGGUAAUACGUAGGGGGCAAGCGUUAUCCGGAUUUACUGGGUGUAAAGGGGGCGCAGACGGGAGCGCAAGCCAGGAGUGAAAGCCCGGGGCCGAACCCCGGGACUGCUCUUGGAACUGCGCGGCUGGAGUGCAGGAGGGGCAGGCGGAAUUCCUGGUGUAGCGGUGAAAUGCGUAGAUAUCAGGAGGAACACCGGUGGCGAAGGCGGACUGCUGGACAGCGACUGACGUUGAGGCCCGAAAGCGUGGGGAGCAAACAGGAUUAGAUACCCUGGUAGUC